rnacentral:rRNA from 1 species
UACGAAGGGGGCUAGCGUUGCUCGGAAUUACUGGGCGUAAAGGGCGCGUAGGCGGCACUGUUAGUCAGGCGUGAAAGUCCUGGGCUCAACCUGGGAACUGCGCUUGAUACGGCAGAGCUAGAGGAUGGAAGAGGCUCGCGGAAUUCCCAGUGUAGAGGUGAAAUUCGUAGAUAUUGGGAAGAACACCGGUGACGAAGGCGGCGAGCUGGUCCAUUACUGACGCUGAGGCGCGACAGCGUGGGGAGCAAACAGG